GACGAACGCUGGCGGCGUGCCUAACACAUGUAAGUCGCACGGGACCGGGGGCAACUCCGGUUCAGUGGCAGACGGGUGCGUAACACGUGAAGAACCUGUCCAACGGCGGGGGAUAGCCGGCCCAACGGCCGGGUAAUACCGCAUACGAUCGUUCGGGGGCAUCCCUGGGCGAUGAAAGCAGCCGCAAGGUUGCGCCGAUGGAGGGCUUCGCGGCCUAUCAGCUAGUUGGCGGGGUAACGCCCACCAAGGCAACGACGGGUAGCUGGUCUGAGAGGAUGGCCAGCCACAUUGGGACUGAGACACGGCCCAGACUCCUACGGGAGGCAGCAGUGGGGAAUCUUGCGCAAUGGCCGCAAGGCUGACGCAGCGACGCCGCGUGUGGGAUGACGGCCU
rnacentral:rRNA from 1 species